CGCCCGUCCAUUGGGGAGUAGCCACCCUUCACGAAGGGGCGCGUGCCAACAGACUCGGGUGUCAUGCCCGUGGCGCGUGCGGCUUACGGAACAUCGUCCGCUAAGGCGACGAUGUGAUCCGGCGGUUCGGCGAGACUGAUGGCACGACCGCCGCCCGAAGGCC
rnacentral:sRNA from 2 species